rnacentral:lncRNA from 10 species
GCCCUCUUACUUUUACCAAAUCUUGUGUGAAAGAACACUGAUAGGCUGAGCGUGGUGGCUCACAUCUGUAAUCGCAGCACUUUAGGAGGCCGAGUCAGGCAGAUCACCUGCUUGGAGAAACCCCACCUCUACUAGAAAAUACAAAAAAAUUAGCUGGGUGUGGUGGCACAAGCCUGUAAUCCCAGCUACUCGGGAGGCCGAGCGAGGCAAGAGAAUCGCUGGAAUCCAGGAGGUGAAGGUUGAAGUAGGCUGAGGUCACACCACUGCACUCCAGCCUGAGCAAGAGUGAGACUCUGUCUCAAAAAAAAAAAAAAAACAAAAACACUAACAGAGUGCUGUUUUUUCAGCUCUCAUCGUUGUAUCCCAGUUCCAUCUUUUUUUUUUUUUUUUUUUUUUUUUUAAAUAGAGGUGGGGUUUUGUCCUGUUGCACGGGCUGGUCUCUAACUCUUGGACACAAGUGAUCCUCCUGCCUCGGCCUCCCAAAGUGCUGGGUUCACAGGCGUGAGCCACCAACGCCUGGCCGCAUCUACAACUCUUGUUUUUGAGAUAGAGUCUCACUCUGUCACCCAGACUGGAGUGCAGUGGCGUGACCUUGGCUCACUGCAGCCUCCGCCUCCCGGGUUCCAGUGAUUCUCCUGCUUCAGCCUCCUGGGUGGCUGGGAUUACAGGCAUGUGCCACCACGCCUGGCUGAUUUUUGUAUUUUCAGUAGAGAUGGGGCUUUGCCAUGUCAGCCAGGCUGUCCUCAAACUCCUGAUCCGCCCCCUCGGCUUCCCAAAGUGCUGGGAUUACAGGCAUGAGCCACUGUGCCCGGCCUGCAACUCUUAAUUCACCCAUUUGUGGAACUUCUCUCCCUCUUGGGUCCUUUUUCUUUUGAACCACACAGGUGUUCUACCUUCAUUCUUUUUCUUCUCUAUUUUUUUCUGGGGCAUCUCAUCCUCUUUCACAACUUGAAUUACACCUUCUGGGGUUAAACUAUUUCUGUUUGGUUCUAAUCCCAACUUCUAUGCUAUAAUCAGGUUACCUGCUACCAAUUUCCUCCAAAUCCCACCAACUCUCUUUGUAUAAAAUAGAAUUGAUAAUCUUACAUACACAUAUACUUGCCUCUCUUCCCUGACUUACCCAUUCCUUUUUAAAAACAGGCACUUCAUCUACUCAGCCACCUGGGCUGGAAACCAGUGUUCUCUAGUUCUGUUCCUUUCCAUUCUCUGCAUAUCUGGUCACUCAGUUCAGAAUAUUCUGUCUUUUAAAAAAGUGCCUGAAAGUUGGGCAAGGUGGCUCAUACUUGUAGUCCCACCUACUCAGAAGGCUGAGACAGGAGGAUCCUUUUGAGCCUAAGAGUUCAAGGCUAGAGUGAGCUGUGGUUGCACCACUACACUCUAGCCUGGUGACAGAGCAAGACACUGUCUCAAAAACAAAACAAAACUUCUGAAGUGAUCUCUCCAUUCCCAUUCACUCUAUUCAUCAUUAUUGCAUUCUGCUACCCAGUCUAUUUCCUAAAUAUUUUUGCUGCCACUUAAUUUUAUCCUUCCAAAACAUGCGAUGGGUUUUAUCUCUCACUACUCCCUGUUUAAGAAAACAGUGCCGGCCGGGCAUGGUGCCUCAUGCCUGUAAUCCCAGCACUUUGGGAUUUGGCCGAGGUGGGUGGAUCAUGAGGUCAGGAGUUCGAGACCAGCCCAACCAA